ACCCACUACUAGUCUGCAGCUGUUCUUACGGUGGCAGUGGUGACAUUCCUCUGUGGGAAAGAAACUGUCGCAUGGUUAAACACCCUUUUCUUAGCAAAACAGAAAGUGGGCAUAUGUGUGACAAACAAGA